AAAGACGGACAUGUAGUCGCUGCGUGACUGGAAUCGGUUACGGAGAGGAAAGUCCGGGCUCCACAGUGGAAGGAUGAUCGCUAACGGCGACCGAGGGUGACCUUAGGGAUAGUGCCACAGAAAAUAAACCGCCUUGGCAACACGUUUCAACGUGACUGAGGUAAGGGUGAAACGGGGAGGUAAGAGCUCACCGGUGCGGUGGUGACAUCGCACGCUUGGUAAACCCCAUCCGGAGCAAGAUCGAACAAAAGGCGCUGAAAAGCCAGGUUCCACGCCUGUGUCCUUUGGGUAUGAUCGCUUGAGGCGGCAGGCAACUGUCGUCCUAGAUGAAUGACUACACCGGCAGGCUUGUCUGCCGCGACAAAACCCGGCUUAUCGGCCGUGCUUUCAUC
rnacentral:RNase_P_RNA from 1 species